rfam:Mustela putorius furo unplaced genomic scaffold scaffold00031, whole genome shotgun sequence.
GCCUGGCUGGCUCAGUUGGUAGAGCAUGAGACUCUUACUCCCAGGGUUGUGAGUUCAAGCCCCACGUUGGGCA